rnacentral:rRNA from 1 species
GAUGAACGCUGGCGGCGUGCCUAAUACAUGCAAGUCGAGCGAACGGACGAGAAGCUUGCUUCUCUGAUGUUAGCGGCGGAUGGGUGAGUAACACGUGGAUAACCUACUUAUAAGACUGGGAUAACUUUGGGAAACCGGAGCUAAUACCGGAUAAUAUUUUGAACCGCAUGGUUCAAAAGUGAAAGACGGUCUUGCUGUCACUUGUAGAUGGAUCCGCGCUGCAUUAGCUAGUUGGUAAGGUAACGGCCUACCAAGGCAACGAUGCGUCGCCGACCUGAGAGGGUGAUCGGCCACACUGGAACUGAGACACGGUCCAGGCUCCUACGGGAGGCAGCAGUAGGGAAUCUUCCGCAGUGGGCGGAAGCCUGACGGAGCGACGCCGCGUGAGUGAUGAAGGUCUUCGGAUCGUAAAGCUCUGUUAUUAGGGAAGAACAUAUGUGUAAGUAACUGUGCACAUCUUGACGGUACCUAAUCAGAAAGCCACGGCUAACUACGUG